rnacentral:rRNA from 1 species
CCAAGCUAGAGUGCAGGAGAGGAAGUUGGAAUUCCCGGUGUAGCGGUGAAAUGCGUAGAGAUCGGGAGGAAUACCAGUGGCGAAGGCGGCCUUCUGGCCUGACACUGACACUGAGGUGCGAAAGCGUGGGUAGCAAACAGGAUUAGAUACCCUGGUAGUCCACGCCGUAAACGAUGUCGACUAGCCGUUGGGACCUUUAAGGACUUAGUGGCGCAGUUAACGCGAUAAGUCGACCGCCUGGGGAGUACGGCCGCAAGGUUAAAACUCAAAUGAAUUGACGGGGGCCCGCACAAGCGGUGGAGCAUGUGGUUUAAUUCGAUGCAACGCGAAGAACCUUACCUACCCUUGACAUCCUGCGAACCCGGAAGAGAUUCCGGGGUGCCUUCGGGAACGCAGUGACAGGUGCUGCAUGGCUGUCGUCAGCUCGUGUUGUGAAAUGUUGGGUUAAGUCCCGUAACGAGCGCAACCCUUGUCCUUAUUUGCCAGCGAUUCGGUCGGGAACUCUAAGGAGACUGCCGGUGACAAACCGGAGGAAGGUGGGGACGACGUCAAGUCAUCAUGGCCCUUACGGGUAGGGCUACACACGUGCUACAAUGGCCGGUACAAAGGGUUGCGAGACCGCGAGGUGGAGCGAAUCCCAUAAAGCCGGCCUCAGUCCGGAUCGGAGUCUGCAACUCGACUCCGUGAAGUCGGAAUCGCUAGUAAUCGUGAAUCAGAAUGUCACGGUGAAUACGUUCCCGGGCCUUGUACACACCGCCCGUCACACCAUGGGAGUGGACUGCACCAGAAGUGGUUAGCUUAACCUUCGGGAGAGCGAUCACCACGGUGUGGUUCAUGACUGGGGUGAAGUCGUAACAAGGUAACC